GACUGUUUGGUGCAGUUGUUUGUAUGCUUGGCUGAUGAACCAGAGGUUGUGGGUUCGAUUCCCCUGCCAGUUG